rnacentral:lncRNA from 1 species
AUGUGUCGUGUGUUCUUUUUUUUAAAUUGUUUUUACAUUUUUUUUCCUUUCUAAAACAUUAUGGGAUUACCUUUUUUUUAUAUCAUUUUCUAUUAAACUUUUUAAAAAUGGUUUUAAUUUAUGUUUAAUUUGAUUAAGGAAAUGUUAGUUUUGAGAUUAUGAAAAAUAUUAUACGUACUAUGGUUUUAUACCAUAUGGACAACUAUGUUGUUUUUUUUUUCCGUUUUGGCAAUUUUCUCUUUUAAAUUUGCUAGAAUAAACAAAGCCAAUGUAUGGUCAAGUUUCCAAGUUUUAUUUUUGUCAAGUUUCCAUGUUGGUCAUUAAACUUCAAGUCAACAUAGCA